UCUUGCCAUCGGAUGUGCCCAGAUGGGAUUAGCUAGUAGGUGGGGUAACGGCUCACCUAGGCGACGAUCCCUAGCUGGUCUGAGAGGAUGACCAGCCACACUGGAACUGAGACACGGUCCAGACUCCUACGGGAGGCAGCAGUGGGGAAUAUUGCACAAUGGGCGCAAGCCUGAUGCAGCCAUGCCGCGUGUAUGAAGAAGGCCUUCGGGUUGUAAAGUACUUUCAGCGGGGAGGAAGGGAGUAAAGUUAAUACCUUUGCUCAUUGACGUUACCCGCAGAAGAAGCACCGGCUAACUCCGUGCCAGCAGCCGCGGUAAUACGGAGGGUGCAAGCGUUAAUCGGAAUUACUGGGCGUAAAGCGCACGCAGG
rnacentral:rRNA from 1 species